GCAUUAAUGGGGUAGUGGUAACCUGGGACGUUGCCAUUUGAAAAUACUCGUCCCGCCGGGGGUUCGAUUCCCCCUUAAUGCA